rnacentral:rRNA from 1 species
CCUACGGGAGGCAGCAGUGGGGAAUAUUGCACAAUGGGCGAAAGCCUGAUGCAGCAACGCCGCGUGAAGGAAGAAGGGUUUCGGCUCGUAAACUUCUAUCAACAGGGACGAAAGAAAUGACGGUACCUGAAUAAGAAGCCCCGGCUAACUACGUGCCAGCAGCCGCGGUAAUACGUAGGGGGCAAGCGUUAUCCGGAAUUACUGGGUGUAAAGGGUGUGUAGGCGGCAAGGUAAGCCAGAUGUGAAAGCCUUGGGCUUAACCCGAGGAUUGCAUUUGGAACUAUCAGGCUAGAGUACAGGAGAGGAAAGCGGAAUUCCUAGUGUAGCGGUGAAAUGCGUAGAUAUUAGGAAGAACACCAGUGGCGAAGGCGGCUUUCUGGACUGCAACUGACGCUGAGGCACGAAAGCGUGGGGAGCGAACAGGAUUAGAUACCCCUGUAGUC